rnacentral:rRNA from 1 species
CUACGGAGGGUGCAAGCGUUAAUCGGAAUUACUGGGCGUAAAGCGUACGUAGGCGGUUAUUUAAGUCAGAUGUGAAAGCCCCGGGCUUAACUUGGGAACUGCAUUUGAAACUGGGUAACUAGAGUUUAGUAGAGGGGAGUGGAAUUUCAGGUGUAGCGGUGAAAUGCGUAGAGAUCGGAAGGAACACCAGUGGCGAAGGCGACUCCCUGGACGAAAACUGACGCUGAGGUACGAAAGCGUGGGUAGCAAACAGGAUUAGAAACCCUAGUAGUCC